GGAUCCAGCCUUUAGGUGGGGAGCGUGUUUUGCAGUGGCUCUCCUAACUCUUCAGGAGCUCUAACUCGACUUUCUGCACUGCUCUCCGAGCAAAAGGAAUCAUGCAAACAUCAUGCAAAGAACACACGCUUUGAGCACAGCGCGGGAGAGGUGGUGCAGCCUGGAGAAGGACUAUAAAAAAAGCCCUCGGUGGUGUGUGGGAAGGCUUAGGGGAAUAUUUCAGCACAUCAGGAGCUGAAUCACUGCAUGUAGGUGGAGCCAGACAGAUUGACAAGAUCUGCAACUUGAAAAAUGACCUAAGCCUGAGAUCAAUCAUCUCGCAAAGUCGCUGACGGAGGGGAACAACAGAUGGAUGUGGAUGGAGGUGAGGAGGCUCCACGUCAGCGUGGCGUGGAAAAAUGCACUGGGCACACACACUGUGCUGACCAACCCGUGUGCCCCCCCGUGCACACACAGAUGCAUCCCGUGCAGUGCAAAAGGCUGAGCACACCUCUUCUCCUGUCACCUCCCAGCGUCAGCGCCACCAAAACUUUCUCUCCUGCUGCAGCAGCACAUCAGGAAGGCACGCUGGGGGAAGCCGUGAGCAGACGUCUCGUUGCCAUGCAUGGGAUUAAUGAAGGAUGCAGCUUCCAGAAAGCCCAAACUCGGGGCCUAUUCAUCGCAAGAGCUGUACUUUGUCCAUGCAAAUGCACACAGCUCUCCUCAGCUGAGCAGUUCCUGAGCUCUGCCACUAGAGACAAACCACCACCAGGUCACUCCCUGCCCUACUAUUCCAGUUCUGCACCAUCUCGAAGCAUUUCCCUUUGUGACCCCGCGAGGUACCAAGAACGCAC
rnacentral:lncRNA from 1 species